rnacentral:lncRNA from 1 species
CUGAGGCCGUGGGGAUCUGGUUUACCAGGAGGGCACAUGGAGGAUGCAAGAAAAGGAAGAGCCGUAUUCAAGUCCCCACUUCAGUGAUGAGGCAGAAAGACCCUGCGCCUGACCACGUGGGAACAGCCUGCAGUGAGCGGUGACGCCGCCUGGCUUGAGCUAAGUGCUGGGCUCCACCAUUCAUUGGCUGAGUGACCUUAGAUGAGAAGAGAAUGAGCCAUGUGUUUCCUGAAACAUCCAGUGGCCUCACCGGAGAAUCUGCAAGAGCCGGUAAACCCAGAAGCUUGGCCGUCCAUUCCUGGAAGCAGACAUUGUGUCUUCGUCCACCAAGCCCCUGGCUCUCAACACUCACUGUGGUGGCAAGAACAUGGCACCUUGACCCUACACAGUUCUUCCAUUUUUCAGAAGCAGCUCCAGACCCUUG